ensembl:snoRNA small nucleolar RNA, C/D box 113-8
UGGACCAAUGAUGAGAUUGGAGGGUGUCUGAAUCAAAUAUUUUGAUUAAACCCUGUCUGGAACUCUGAGGUCCCU